GACGAACGUUGGCGGCGUGCUUAAUACAUGCAAGUCAACUGAAGCAGUGGUAGCAAUAUCGCUGUGGAGGUGGCGCACGGGGGAGUAACACGUAGGUAAUCUGCCUUCAGGUCUGGCAUAACUCCGGGAAACCGGGGCUAAUAGCAGAUGAUGCAGCGGCUCGACAUCGAGACAGUUGUUAAAGCUAGGGCGCCUGGAGAUGAGCCUGCGUCUGAUUAGCUAGUUGGCGGGGUAACGGCCCACCAAGGCAACGAUCAGUAGCUGGUCUGAGGGGAUGCUCAGCCACACUGGAGCUGAGACACGGUCCAGACUACUACGCGAGGCAGCAGUAAGGACAAUUGCUCAAUGGGAGAAAUCCUGAAGCAGCAACGCCGCGUGAGGGACGAAGGGCUUUUGCUUGUAAACCUCUGUAGUGAGAGAAAAAAAUCCCAAUCUUUGGGACAUGAUGGUACCUAAAAAGUAAGCCCCGGCUAACUACGUG
rnacentral:rRNA from 1 species